UUAAAGCUAAGCUACCUUCUUGAAAUGAAGUAUUCACUACUUACUUACUCGUAAGAGAUUUCAUGUCACAGCGAUAUCAUAUAACUGCAGCAUCACUUCGCCGCUCCUUUUUUGGUCCGAGCAAUCGUUUCAACAAUUUGAUUCUUUACAAUAUUUUCGUUGAUACUGGCAAUCCGACUACAGUUUGAUACUUAUUUAAUUUUAUUUAGUCUGUUAUAGUACUGCUUCUUCUCUGAACAUACUAGAAAUGCAUUGGUUAAUCAUAUUAGUGUUGAUGUGUGCUACCAGACAAACAUUCACAAUGUCAAUACAAAAUACAACAUCGUCGGAUGAAGAAUUAAUGGAAAAACGAUUGGAAUUACUAGAGUCUAAAAUCGCUUCUCUAGAAAAUGAAAGUAAAGCUCAACCAGUUUUGUUCUGCGCAAUUAUUAACAGCAAGACCCUCACUC